UAGGGUUUCUAUAAUAUCUUAAGAUCUAUUAGUUGGAUCAAGGUAAAUUUUGGCAUAGUAUUGGAGGACUUAAAGAUCAAGCUACACACCAAUUUUGAGUUGAAGUGAAUAAUUGGAAAAAGAGAAAUCACUAUUGGAACAUUUGCCUCAACUUUUAAGUUAGCAGCUAAGUAACAUCAGUUUGGUUUUUGGAUAUUUUCUCACAAUUUGUAAGUUGGAUUGAAGUGAAUUCUCAUUAAGCACAUAGAAGAAUUAUAGUGGUAUUUGUAUGCAAAAUUUUGCUCUAAGUGAAUCAUUAGAUUGCAAGCUACAAUUUGCUAAAGCUUGCUAAUUAGCAUUAAAGUUUGCAAAGAAAGUUUAAAAUUGCCUAAUUAUUGAAG
rnacentral:lncRNA from 1 species